CUCAAAGCCUGGUGAGCCAGACCUCCUAAGGUUAUGGCUUAGCUCUAGAGACUCCAUAUUGUAGUACAAGAGGAUUCCUUGUGGAAUAAGUUUUAUCAGAAUUAAACCCAAAAUACCAGAUGAUCCUUAACUCGAAUAAAUCCAACCACAUCAUAUGGGGAGACCGGUCAUAUAAAUGGGAAGGAUAACUAUUGAAAAUAUUAAGCAGAGCAGAUGAUGACAGGCUACCAAAGAUCCACAUUAAUAGAGAUUAUUUUUGAAUAGGAACAAGCCAAAAUGUACCCACUAAAACCCAUUGAGCAGCACUGAUGACUCACAGACAAAACAAAACUAUACCAGUGGUGGCCUUAGGAUCACCAAAAAUCAAGUAAUUGACAACCUAGGCUCCACUGAGGACUACAGUACUGAACACCGGGUAACCUCUGCAGACCCGGCCACCACCGAGGACAACGCCUCUGCAGACCCGGCCAUCACCGAGGGCUCUUUUACUGCUGUCCUGGGAACCACCAAGAGCUAUAUCACUAAACAUCCAGACACUCGCCCUGAGAGAACAAUUGCAAUAACCUCAGUGAAACCCACUGGGCAGCUGACACCUACGGUGUUGACAUCCUCAUUUCCCUGGCUGCCACCACAAUGGCAGUUGCACUCCUUGUUGGACUUGGCUUCUUUGUGAAAAGUUGUUUCCUGCAUCCAUUAAAUCCAUCCACCGGGAUUUAUUUUCCCCAUGCCAUGGAUUGGAGUGCACCAUGAAAAGGAUUCCUGCAGUAAGUAACUGUAAUGGGUUCUAGAGCCAAUCAGUCCACCAUCAGGCUCUGCAGGACCAUGAAUCAUGACAUGUAUCCUAAGACCUCCACUUUUCUCCCCCACUCCAGAGCCCUGGAACCACCAGAUGAGAAAGGUAGCUGGCCCUGGGAACAAGCAUAUCAGGAACACCCAAAAGGAUGCCUGCCUGCUCCGAGUAUCUCCUAAUUCGGUCUGGCCAUAGUUGCUUCCUCAGGAAAAUUGCCUUUACCUAUCUACCAGGUUUAGUCGUGAAAACUAUUUGAAGGAGACAGACACAAAUCAGGUGUAAGAGAUAUUCAUUAAUUCUGAUCAAAGAAAUAAAGCUGAUGUUCA
rnacentral:lncRNA from 1 species